UACGUAGGGCGCAAGCGUGUCCGGAAUUAUUGGGCGUAAAGAGCUCGUAGGCGGCCUGUUGCGUCCGCUGUGAAAUCCCGGGGCUCAACCCCGGGCCUGCAGUGGAUACGGGCAGGCUAGAGUUCGGUAGGGGAGAUCGGAAUUCCUGGUGUAGCGGUGAAAUGCGCAGAUAUCAGGAGGAACACCGGUGGCGAAGGCGGAUCUCUGGGCCGAUACUGACGCUGAGGAGCGAAAGCCAGGGGAGCAAACGGG
rnacentral:rRNA from 1 species